CUGUCCUAACCUAUAAAAUGAAAGUGUUAGCACCUGUGAUCGCGACGCUGAGGCAGUGAUUUCCGACAGAAACACGCUGACAGCUGCGCUGCAAGCCCGUAUGUAAUUCGAAAUUUUCCAGCAGCAACUUGCAAAGAGUAAAAAGGAAACAGUUAUUGAGAGAGGGCUGAUGAAAUCUCUGAAUAUAAUUGUGGAUGUGUCUAUUUCCCUCUGCAGUUCUUUGGGGUAUGAGGAAUGUGGAGAGGCAGCAGGAAUAAGAAAAUGAGACUUAAGAAGAUAACUUCAUUUGUUGCAUUCCACCGACAUUUCCUGAGUGCCUACUACGUGUUGAUGAGGAAUAUGCCCACCUCUGGGAAGAAGAAGCAAGCUCCGGGGAGUUUUGGGCUCAAACCGGAGACAUGCCCUGGCCAAGCAUCUGGAUGCAGAGGGACCCUGACGGUCAUCAUUUUCGCCAGUUGGUCUCAACCAAAGGACACACAUCAAAAUACACAGGCUGGGGCACCUUGGUGACUCAGUCAGUUAAGCGUUUGCCUUUGGCUCAGGUCAUGAUCCCAGGGUCCUGGGAUCGAGACCCUCGGCGGGCACCCCGCUCAGCAGGGAGUCUGCUUCUCCCUCUGUCUCUGUCUUCUGCUCCUCCUGCUGGGUUCUCUCUCUCUCUGUCAAAUAAAUAAAUAAAAUCUUCAAAAUA